UGGGGAAUCUUGCACAAUGGGGGAAACCCUGAUGCAGCGACGCCGCGUGAACGAUGAAGCCCUUCGGGGUGUAAAGUUCUUUCGACAGGAACGAUAAUGACGGUACCUGGAGAAGAAGCUGCGGCUAACUACGUGCCAGCAGCCGCGGUAAUACGUAGGCAGCGAGCGUUGUUCGGAGUUACUGGGCGUAAAGAGUGCGUAGGCGGCGAGCCAAGUUUGGUGUGAAAUCUCCCGGCUUAACCGGGAGGGUGCGCCGAAAACUGGUUGGCUGGAGUAUGGGAGAGGAAAGCGGAAUUCCUGGUGUAGCGGUGAAAUGCGUAGAUAUCUGGAAGAACACCAGUGGCGAAGGCGGUCAACUGGCCCAUAACUGACGCUCAUGCACGAAAGCGUGGGGAGCAAACA
rnacentral:rRNA from 1 species